GGCCUGAUGGUCUAGUAGUAUGAUUCCUUGUUAGGGUUUCACGUGAUUAACGUCACGUGACCGAUCGAGGAGGUCCCGGGUUCAAUUCCCGGUUAGGCCC